UGGGGAAUAUUGGACAAUGGGCGAAAGCCUGAUCCAGCCAUGCCGCGUGUGUGAAGAAGGUCUUCGGAUUGUAAAGCACUUUAAGUUGGGAGGAAGGGCAUUAACCUAAUACGUUAGUGUUUUGACGUUACCGACAGAAUAAGCACCGGCUAACUCUGUGCCAGCAGCCGCGGUAAUACAGAGGGUGCAAGCGUUAAUCGGAAUUACUGGGCGUAAAGCGCGCGUAGGUGGUUUGUUAAGUUGGAUGUGAAAUCCCCGGGCUCAACCUGGGAACUGCAUUCAAAACUGACUGACUAGAGUAUGGUAGAGGGUGGUGGAAUUUCCUGUGUAGCGGUGAAAUGCGUAGAUAUAGGAAGGAACACCAGUGGCGAAGGCGACCACCUGGACUAAUACUGACACUGAGGCCCGAAAGCGUGGGUAGCAAACA
rnacentral:rRNA from 1 species